rnacentral:rRNA from 1 species
UUGAUCCUGGCUCAGGAUGAACGCUAGCGGCAGGCUUAACACAUGCAAGUCGAGGGGUAGAGUUCUUCGGAACUUGAGACCGGCGCACGGGUGCGUAACGCGUAUGCAAUCUACCUUUUACAGAGGGAUAGCCCAGAGAAAUUUGGAUUAAUACCUCAUAGUAUUAUGACUCGGCAUCGAGAUAUUAUUAAAGUCACAACGGUAAAAGAUGAGCAUGCGUCCCAUUAGCUAGUUGGUAAGGUAACGGCUUACCAAGGCAACGAUGGGUAGGGGUCCUGAGAGGGAGAUCCCCCACACUGGUACUGAGACACGGACCAGACUCCUACGGGAGGCAGCAGUGAGGAAUAUUGGACAAUGGGCGCAAGCCUGAUCCAGCCAUGCCGCGUGCAGGAUGACGGUCCUAUGGAUUGUAAACUGCUUUUGUACAGGAAGAAACACUGGUUCGUGAACCAGCUUGACGGUAUCGUAAGAA